CAUCAAAUAGCUUAAAGUAAGCAAAAGCCUCUUAAGUUUUAGAAUAUCAGUUUACGCCUGAUUUUGAUGG
rnacentral:tRNA from 1 species